rnacentral:rRNA from 1 species
UACGGAGGUGGCGAGCGUUGUUCGGAAUUACUGGGCGUAAAGGGCGCGUAGGCGGGGAGGUAAGUCGGGUGUGAAAUCCCUCGGCCCAACCGAGGAACCGCGCCCGAGACUGCCCUUCUUGAGUCCCGGAGAGGAAGGUGGAAUUCCCGGUGUAGCGGUGAAAUGUGUAGAGAUCGGGAGGAACACCGGUGGCGAAGGCGGCCUUCUGGACGGUGACUGACGCUGAGGCGCGAAAGCGUGGGGAGCAAACGGG